rnacentral:misc_RNA from 1 species
UCCGGUUUGUCACCGGCAGUCUCGCUAAAGUGCCCAACUUAAUGAUGGCAAUUAACGACAAGGGUUGCGCUCGUUGCGGGACUUAACCCAACAUCUCACGACACGAGCUGACGACAGCCAUGCAGCACCUGUGUCCAGGCUCUCUUUCGAGCACCAAACCAUCUCUGGUAAGUUCCUGGCAUGUCAAGGGUAGGUAAGGUUUUUCGCGUUGCAUCGAAUUAAUCCACAUCAUCCACCGCUUGUGCGGGUCCCCGUCAAUUCCAUUGAGUUUUAACCUUGCGGCCGUACUCCCCAGGCGGUCAACUUCACGCGUUAGCUGCGUUACUCAAUGAGUCUCCUCACCGAACAACUAGUUGACAUCGUUUAGGGCGUGGACUAC